rnacentral:rRNA from 1 species
AGAGUUUGAUCCGUGGCUCAGGACAACGCUGGCGGCGUGCUUAACACAUGCAAGUCGAACGUGAUUUUUGUGGAAAUUCUUUCGGGAAUGGAAAUGAAAUGAAAGUGGCGAACGGGUGAGUAACACGUGAGCAACCUACCUUACACAGGGGGAUAGCCGUUGGAAACGACGAUUAAUACCGCAUGAGACCACAGAAUCGCAUGAUAUAGGGGUCAAAGAUUUAUCGGUGUAAGAAGGGCUCGCGUCUGAUUAGCUAGUUGGAAGGGUAAAGGCCUACCAAGGCGACGAUCAGUAGCCGGUCUGAGAGGAUGAACGGCCACAUUGGAACUGAGACACGGUCCAAACUCCUACGGGAGGCAGCAGUGGGGAAUAUUGCACAAUGGGGGGAACCCUGAUGUAGCGACGCCGCGUGAGCGAAGAAGGUUUUCGAAUCGUAAAGCUCUGUCCUAUGAGAAGAUAAUGACGGUAUCAUAGGAGGAAGCCCCGGCUAAAUACGUG